GGUGAAAAGCACCCCGGAAGGGGAGUGAAAUAGAACCUGAAACCGUGUGCUUACAAGUAGUCAGAGCCCGUUAAUGGGUGAUGGCGUGCCUUUUGUAGAAUGAACCGGCGAGUUACGAUUUGAUGCAAGGUUAAGCAGUAAAUGUGGAGCCGUAGCGAAAGCGAGUCUGAAUAGGGCGUUUAGUAUUUGGUCGUAGACCCGAAACCAGGUGAUCUACCCUUGGUCAGGUUGAAGUUCAGGUAACACUGAAUGGAGGACCGAACCGACUUACGUUGAAAAGUGAGCGGAUGAACUGAGGGUAGCGGAGAAAUUCCAAUCGAACCUGGAGAUAGCUGGUUCUCUCCGAAAUAGCUUUAGGGCUAGCCUCAAGUGAUGAUUAUUGGAGGUAGAGCACUGUUUGGACGAGGGGCCCCUCUCGGGUUACCGAAUUCAGACAAACUCCGAAUGCCAAUUAAUUUAACUUGGGAGUCAGAACAUGGGUGAUAAGGUCCGUGUUCGAAAGGGAAACAGCCCAGACCACCAGCUAAGGUCCCAAAAUAUAUGUUAAGUGGAAAAGGAUGUGGCGUUGCCCAGACAACUAGGAUGUUGGCUUAGAAGCAGCCAUCAUUUAAAGAGUGCGUAAU
rnacentral:rRNA from 1 species